rnacentral:sRNA from 1 species
GUCCUGAUGGGAUCCGGUGUAUUAGUGCUUGUAUGAUCGCAUCCGUUAGUAUAUGCAAUGCAAUCGUAUACCUUUUUUUUUGAAGACUUGAUAAACCAUUCGCCAUGGGUUCCACCCGCUAUGUAGGGAUACCCCAUCUAUUGUUAACGAGCUUUGAUGCAUGAAAAAAUUCUAAAACAAUGCUUGAACAAGUAAUUUUGGGUCCGUAAUAUAGCCCAAAUCACAAAAAUGCCCGAAAAAGUGCUUAAAGGUCAAAAUUUGGGGUCGACAAAAAGUCAAUGGAAAUGUUCCAUUGUCCUGCUUCUUUCGUCGGAGGGCUAUCUUUGGGCUUUCCAAAAAGGUAUCACAUCCCAAGUUUGGCCUCACGGUUUAAAAGUUAUAGAGUUAUAAAGUUUUAACCAAAAAAAAACAAAUUAAAAAAAAAGGAUGCAACACGAGGACUUCCCGGGAGGUCACCCAUCCUAGAACAACUCUCGCCCAAGCACGCUUAACUAAAGGUCAAAAUUUGGAGUCGACAAAAAAUCAAUGGAUAAGUUCCAUUGUCCUGCUUCUUUCAUCGGAGGGCUCUCUUUGGGCUUUCCGAAAAGGUAUCACAUGCCAAGUUUGGCCUCACUCUAUAA